rnacentral:rRNA from 1 species
UACGGAGUGUGCAAGCGUUGUCCGGAAUCACUGGGCGUAAAGGGCGCGUAGGCGGCCUGGUAAGUAGGGGGUGAAAUCCUGCGGCUUAACCGCAGGGCUGCCUUCUAAACUGUCAGGCUUGAGCACGGUAGAGGCAGAUGGAAUUCCCGGUGUAGCGGUGGAAUGCGUAGAGAUCGGGAAGAACAUCAGUGGCGAAGGCGGUCUGCUGGGCCGUUGCUGACGCUGAGGCGCGACAGCGUGGGGAGCAAACAGG